rnacentral:lncRNA from 1 species
ACGCAUGUCAUAUGGAAAGCCAGCCUCUGCCCACAGCCAAAGCCCACCUCUCGGCUGCGGCCCGUCCCUCUUCAGACCGAGUGCCAGCAGCCUCCCCCACCGCCGCCUGCAGCCGGGCCUCUGCCCCAGGAGCCACUGUACCACACGGGGGCCCAGGGACCCCACAUCUGCUAGGCGGGCUGUCAGCACAGCCCUGCAUCCCACCAGUGACCUCCAGCCCUGGACACUGAGCUCCCCAGGGGCCGCUGAGAAGGGCCAGCGCUGCUCCGACCUGGGGCCUCGUGGAGAUGCUGCAGGUUCAAGACCCUGGAGGAGACGGUGCCAUUCCGCCCAGGGGGGAAGGUGACCAGGACUUUGGGGGCGGUGAGGGUGGAACGGGACCUCAAGGACUCAGCCUUGGACACAGGCGUCUGUGCAGGCUCAGCUGAAAUGACGGGCUAGUGGCCUGAGGGGCAGGGCCCUCCGAGGGCCUGGUCACCUCUGUAAGGACCUGCCUCCUGCAGUGCAGCCGCCCACCGGCCUGGGGACAGGCCCAUGGACAGGCACCCCCGCCCUGUGGUCUGUCAGCUCCCCCGAGGCCCAGACAUCACCAGGCAGUGCACGCGGAGCUGGUGCCCCCUCUGCGCCCGCUGUGCUCUCGGCCCUCCCCUGGCGGACCUGGCUGGACGUGGUGCUGGGAAGUGAGGACCUCAUGGUGCCCCCCAGGCCAGCCGAGCUCGUUCACCUCCAGGAGCAGGUGUUUGUGUCUGAACAUGCACACACACACACACACGUGCACACACGAGCACAUGGGUGAGAUCACGCGUGUGUGCAUGCGUGAACCCACAGAUGUAGAUCACACACAUAUGCACGCAUGAGCGCAAGGGUGAGAUCUCCCACACGUGCACGUGUGAGCCCAUGGCUGCAGGUGCUUGCACAUCCAUGUGCACGUGUGACACACGACAGGUACACACACAGGAGGUGGGUCCCACAGGCAUCGCCAUCAGUGGGGAUGGAGGCACAGCAGGGAACGUGGAGCCGGGCAGUACUGGCCCUGGAGGAGCUGACCCUUGGGAGGGAGUCUAAGGGGGCUUCCUGGAGGAGGCGGCCCGCCGUGAGUCUGGAGAGAGGGCUGGAGCCCUCACGUGGGGGCUUGGGGGGACGGGCUGGGCUGUUGUUAGCUUGCCGUCUUGUUGGUGUGGAGCAGGGGGGCCCGUGAGAAAGGGCGUCCAAAGGGCACUUGGAGGAAUACACCAUAGCUGGCUAGGUCGGCCCGCGGCCGAGCGCGUCCUGCCUACAGCCUGUCUAUACAGCCUGAGAUCUGGAAAGGCAUUUACGUGCUAAAAUGGUUGGAAAAACCAAAAAAGGAAGACUGUCUUGUGACACAUGAACACGGCCGUGUCCCGUGAGGUCUGGUCGGAGCAGGCACGUCCAGCGUCCACGUACUGCGUGUGGCCAGCUUCCCCACGGCCGCAGAGCAGGGGUGGAGAGCGGUGGCCGCAGGGGCCUGGAGACCCCCCACGUGGCCCUUGACGGACGUCUGCCGACUGGGGACCUAAGCGCCUCCGUUUAAGGAUCAUCAGAACGCGUGUCCGAGCGGACAGAACAUGGCCUCUGUUGAGGAGAAAAUGCACUGCAAACCCCCGGUGGGUUUCGUCGAGAGAAAACGGAAAGAAAGGCUGGAAAAGGCACUGUGGGAGCUCCCGUCGGGGCGCAGCGGAAACCAAUCUGACCAGUCCGUGAGGACGCGGGUUCGAUCCCUGGCCUCGCUCAGCGGGUUAAGGAUCUGGCAUUGCUACGAGCUGUGGUAUAGGUCGCAGACGUGGCUCAGAUCCUGCGUGGCUGUGGCUGAGGUGCAGGCCAGUGGCUGUAGCUCCGAUUUGACCCCUAACCUGGGAACCUCCAUAUGCUGCAGGUGUGGCCCUACAAAGACAAAAAAAA